CAGUCGCCGCGGUAACACGUAGGUGGCAAGCGUUGUCCGGAAUUAUUGGGCGUAAAGGGCUCGCAGGCGGUUUCUUAAGUCUGAUGUGAAAGCCCCCGGCUCAACCGGGGAGGGUCAUUGGAAACUGGGAAACUUGAGUGCAGAAGAGGAGAGUGGAAUCCCACGUGUAGCGGUGAAAUGCGUAGAGAUGUGGAGGAACACCAGUGGCGAAGGCGACUCCCUGGUCUGUAACUGACGCUGAGGAGCGAAAGCGUGGGGAGCGAACAGGAUUAGAUACCCCUGUAGUCCCUGUCUCUUAUAC
rnacentral:rRNA from 1 species